rnacentral:rRNA from 1 species
CGCAGGGUGCGAGCGUUAAUCGGAAUUACUGGGCGUAAAGCGUGCGCAGGCGGUUUUGUAAGACAGAUGUGAAAUCCCCGGGCUCAACCUGGGACCUGCAUUUGUGACUGCAAGGCUAGAGUACGGUAGAGGGGGAUGGAAUUCCGCGUGUAGCAGUGAAAUGCGUAGAUAUGCGGAGGAACACCGAUGGCGAAGGCAAUCCCCUGGACCUGUACUGACGCUCAUGCACGAAAGCGUGGGGAGCAAACAGGAUUAGAUACCCUGGUAGUCCACGCCCUAAACGAUGUCAACUGGUUGUCGGGUCUUUACUGACUCAGUAACGAAGCUAACGCGUGAAGUUGACCGCCUGGGGAGUACGGCCGUCAAGGUUG